rnacentral:lncRNA from 1 species
CACACACAUGCACACAGGGGGCUGUUCAAGACUGACCGGGUGCUGGGGACAGCCCAGCUGAAGCUGGAUGCACUGGAGACAGCAUGUGAGGUCCGGGAGAUCCUUGAGGUCCUGGAUGGUCGCCGGCCCACAGGGGGGCGACUGGAGGUAAUGGUCCGGAUUCGGGAGCCACUGACAGCCCAGCAGUUGGAGACGACGACGGAGAGGUGGCUGGUCAUUGACCCUGUGCCGGCAGCUGUGCCCACAGUUGCUGGGCCCAAAGGGAAGGCCCCUCCUGUGCCUGCCCCUGCAAGGGAGUCAGGGAACAGAUCAGCCCGGCCCCUGCAUAGCCUCAGUGUGCUGGCGUUUGACCAAGAGCGUCUGGAGCGGAAGAUCCUGGCCCUCAGGCAGGCGCGGCGGCCGGUGCCCCCAGAAGUGGCCCAGCAGUACCAGGACAUCAUGCAACGCAGCCAGUGGCAGAGGGCACAGCUGGAGCAGGGGGGUGUGGGCAUCCG